AGUACCUUGUGUUGUGCUACCCCUCUGUGCACUGUGGGCUGCCAGCUAGCCGAGUCAGAAGUCUCGCACAUCUUUUGAAGUCUGAGAAGAGAGGAUGAAAUGGAAAAGACGGAGGAAGCUGGAGAAAACCCAUGCAUGCACAGGGAGAACAUGUAAACUCCAUGCAGAAAGAUCCCAGGAAGGUGGGGAACCAGGGAUCUUCUAGCUGUGAGGCAACGGUGCAAACCACCAAUGUUCAGCAGACAUCAUACGUUUCAGCUCUCUCCCCAACUCUCUCUCUCUCUCUCCUGCUGACAAGUGGAGUACGGCUUCACAACUGCUUCUACUUGUUUCUCUCUGCCGCUGGCGUCCUCCGGCUCCCUUUGGUUACACUCCUGUCCCCAGCAUCCCGCUGAUCCUCGGCUCCGCUGAUCCUCGGCUCCGCUGAUCCUCGGCUCCGCUGCUCUGUCCCACUCCCCUUCUUGGCUUCUUCCUCUGACCGCUCCUCACCACCCCUCACUCCCUCUCCUGAAAUAUCCCUUACAAUAUACCUGCUUGCACUCAGUUCGCCUCACUGUGUACUCUCUGCACGGGUUCACCUCCUAAAACCAUAACACUAUAGCAGCUGAAGAGCCUCUAAAUCAGCAUUUUGGACAGAAGAAUCCUUACGAGGACUCCUCCAACAGGGCUCUGUACACAGGAGAACACAUUCCACUCUAAUAGGCCACAUUUGUGUCACCCAAAUACCAACUCCUAUCAGACACUAAAACAGGCAAAAACAAAGUCUAUUCUACUAACUUAAGAUAAUAUCAAAUCAAACUGAAGGUGAGUGGAUUUGACUCAGUAGAAAAAACAUGACAAAAUAGAGAAAAAAUAAAUUAUUAGUGUUAUUAUUAUUAUCUCAAGUAAACAAUAAAAAAUGAGUUUUCUAAAAAUUUAUAAAACAGAGUUAUCUGUUUUUGCAAAUGAACUCUUCAAUUGUAGAAUUGUGGUUCAGAGCUUUCAGCAGCACCUUCACAUUAUCAGGCAGUUUUAAUUUUGUGGCUGAUCGAUGUAUCCACAAAAAAGUGUUUACAACCUUUUAACCUUUAACAUUUUAUGCAGAAUAAAGAACUGUCUGUUGUAAUGAACUUGACCUGUGUCUUAUUAUGGUACACCCGUGUACCAAAUAUGGUGAGGCUACAUCAAUAUUUUAUGGAGUUAUCGUGCGCAAACCAAAUCGUUACAGACAAACAACGGAACAAGUAAGCAAGACCUCACAGCUCAAAACAAUACCUUCCGGCAAACGACGUUUGUCCGGGCGGUAAUAAGGACAUUCUCAGUGCAACAUUUGGCAAAAGAAAGAAAACUUAACACUUGAAGCAUUACCAGAAUGUUGCAGAACUUUCUCUGAAUGUUUUUCGAACAAACACAAAAUCUAGCUGGUGCAGCCAAAUAAUGAGAAGAAGAAUCAAAAAAUAUGAAUGAAAUAAGUAAAUAAUUAAAUCCAAUAAUAUAUAAUAACUUUGAAUUGUAUUAAAGGGCAGCUGGAAGAACCACUUUGAUGUCUGUUUGUCCUGGAUAUUGUCAGACUGUCGAAUCUGCAGCCUGAGGAAAGGAACUUGAUGUCGCUGGACGGUGGGUGGCAAAGAUCAGACGAUCGUCAUCAGUGAUCAAUGACGUCUCCACGAUUCCUGAUCAACAGCAUCUCUACCCUGAAUAGUCCAGCAAUAAUCACAUAAUCCAAACGGCCGUGAUACUAAAAGGAAAAUGACUUCAAUAUAAGAAAUGACACAUCGAGUUAUUUCAAAGGUCAGUGGCAGCUGAUAGAGGCGCUUUUAGGUCUAGUUGUCCUGCAUGCUGAUUGUAUCUGCAGACAGAUGGAAACAACUUGACCUCUUUGGACAGGCGGUGGUCUGGAUCAGCCUGGAUUCACUGAGCCUUCUUCUUCUUCUGAGUCUUAACCUUAUACUGAUGAGAAAGCUCAUUCAGUGCCUGAUAAUUUGCUGUACGCUUUGAUUUUAUAAAACAGGAAUAGGGGACAGGACUGUGGGGCCAUUAUUCUUUGAGUUAACUUUCAUUUUCACUCACUGUUUAGUUAGGUUUAGGACCCACAUUACAGGAAAUGAAAUAAUGUAAAGUAGGCUGUGAAAAACACUAUACAGUAGUUUUUCUUUCAAAAAGAAAUCGUCAUGAAUUUUGUCCAAAAAAACGCCAUUGUAUACUAUGUCUAUGUUCACACUGCAGGCUAAAGUGACCCAAAUCUGAUUUUCUUUGCCCCUAUGCGACCUCUAUCUGAUCUUUUCAUGACAGUCUGAAUGACACAGAUCCAAUUUUUUCAAAUGCAACCCAGGCCACUUGCAUAUGUGGAACUAAUUCCGAUACGUAUCGGAUCUUUUGCCAUGCGACUUCAGUCUGAACGGCCAGGUCACAUUUAUCAGACCUAUACGUCAUCGGUACACGACAAACGUCACUAUUCUGCGUUCAAGAAAAACACGUCUUCGGGCUGCUGAAGACGUGUGUCUUGCCGUGAGAGUGUUAAAAAGAGGCGCUCACAUAUGUAGGUAAAGGUCGCCCUUAUCAUUUGAAAAUUCUGAAUGAAGUCUGCAUCUGUGAAGCCUCUCACAUCACUAUCCAUCACUCCUGGCUGCGACUCCACACCCACACAGUUCUCUGGACAGACGUUGCUGCCACUGCCCCACAAAACACCAGGGCCAAAAUCCUGGCUCUCUUCCUUCUUGACCUUCUCCUUAAAAUGAUAAAGUUAGAAAUAUGCUGUUAGCGUCCAUGUUUACUUCUGUAAACACUGAACACGCUCUCUGCGUGUCGUUGUUGUGUCCUCUUCUGCGCAUGCGGGAACCUUUUGGGUCGUGUGAGGUUCACACAGGAGAUCACAUACAAGUCGCAUUUAAUUGGAAAUGUGAACGAACUCGCAAAAAAUCGGAUUUCACAAAAAAAUCAGAAUUGAGCAUUAAGCCCUGCAGUCUGAACGUAGCCUAUGUCGAAAAAAAUGCCAUUUUUUUCAACGUGUCGUAAAAACAUUCUAUAUGAUGAAGUAAUGUAAAGUAGGCCGUGAAAAACACCAUAGAGCAGUUUUCUUUUUUAAAAAAUCAUCAUGAAUGUUGUCCAAAAAAACCGCCAUUGUACUAUGUCGAAAAAAAUGCGAUUUUUUCAACAUGUCGUAAAAACAUGCCAUAUGAUGAAAUAAUGUAAAGUAGGCCAUGAAAAACACUAUAGAGCAAUUUUCUUUGAAAAUAAAACCGUCAUGAAUUUUGACACCAAAAUUAUUCGGUAAAGUAAAAAAAAUUGGAUUAUAGUGCAACACUUGCACAACAUGUUUGAAGCUUUCCUUCCAUUUUUUGGUUUACAAAGAUCACAAUUCCCAGCCCAUCUAAUAUACAUUACUGUUCAAAAGUUUGGUUUCACUUAGAAAUGUCUUCAUUUUUGAAAGAAAAGUAGUUUGCUUUCAAUGAAUAUAACAUUAAAUUGAUCAGAAGUACAGUCCAUUCAUUAUUAAUGUGGUAAAUGACUAUUGUAGCUGGAAACAGCUGAUUUUUAAUGGAAUAUCUCCAUAGGGGUACAGAGGAACAUUUCCAGCAACCAUCACUCCUGUGUUCUAAUGCUACAUUGUGUUAGCUAAUGCUGUUGAAAUCUAAUUAAUGAUUUGAAAACCCUUGAGCAGUUAUGUUAGCACAUGAAUAAAAGUGUGAGUUUUCAUGGAAAACAUGAAAUUGUCUGGGUGUUCCCAAACUUUUGAACAGUUGUGUAUGAUUGAAUGGCAGUGGAGCAAUAGAACAACCAGUUAAAGAUAUGUACAUUAGAAACAUAUUUGUUGCAUCACAAACAAACAUCAUCCAAAAGACAAUACGUUUUUGCUCAAAACAUAAUUGAGAAUGCAGUUUGGUUGGUUAGGAACGUAAGCUUUAGUUUGCCUUGACAUGAAGUUUUUUUUUGCGUCCUUUAAAGGCCCACUUGUGCUUAAAUGGGGGGAAGAAAAUAUGAUGCACUUUGAUAAACAGGAUGUGAUUUUAACUCCGAGAUUAAUUCCUCACAGGGACAAAUAAUGGUUUGUUGGUGUUACAUCAAUAAUAAAAAGUGUAUACAUUUG